rnacentral:lncRNA from 1 species
UCAUUGGUGUCUUUGAAAUAGGUUAUGAAUUUAAAAACAGAUACCAGGAGCAGCACCCCAUUUCCAUGAGUACUGCUACCGAAGUCCGAGGGAAUUAUUCGCGGGAUAUGGUGCUUCUCAAGUUGUUAGAGACUGCUUGGAUGGAAGAAAUGCCGUGACCAGGAUAGAUGCCAAUGAAGCAGGGUUGGGCAACCACCACCGCUGUUCAAAGAAACACUCUGGGCAGUAAUGAGUACCUGUCACGCUCUCCCAGAAGCAAGACUAUAGCUAUUUUACAAAAAAGUUUAUGAUGUUCUGUAGCGUUAGGAAGAACAGAAGACCGUCUUCAUGGGAUUGGCAUUGCAACAGCAUGGGACCUGGCUGGCAGUAACUUGUUCAGCGUCCUUCUGGGGACGGAGCGGAGCUGCAGCCCCCGGGUGUGCAGGGACCGAGGGCUUCUGCCACCUCCUCCAACCGGAUAGUCAGGGAGGAAGAGGAUGGUCUCCCAUGGGAGGAUUACACCRUGAGCAUUUUUUGUCGGAUCGCGCCUCGCACAGUGACAUUCUUUAAGUUCUAAACAGCAGAAGAGAAUGAGAGGUGGGUCCAUGAAAAGUGAAUUUCCAACAACUUCCCAAGACCUGGGAAGUGAUUUUAGCAGGGGAAACGUGCCUUAAGUGUCAGGUCUAUGCAUAUGGCUGUUACACCUAGUCUGUAAAAAGUAUUGAGACAAACUACUCAGCCUGGUCUCUUGGCUGCGCUACCUGCAUAUCCUUGCAUUAUGCACUGUGUGCAAACAUUGCACUGCCAGUGUCCAUUUUUUAAAGGUUUUCACACCUUUCAUUUAAACUGAGGAAAAUAAAUGUAGGGCUGAAACAGUACCUUAAUCA